AUUGAACGCUGGCGGCAUGCUUUACACAUGCAAGUCGGACGGCAGCACAGAGAAGCUUGCUUCUUGGGUGGCGAGUGGCGAACGGGUGAGUAACAUAUCGGAACGUACCGAGCAGUGGGGGAUAACUAAUCGAAAGAUUAGCUAAUACCGCAUAUUUUCUGAGGAAGAAAGCAGGGGACCAUUUGGCCUUGCGCUGUUUGAGCGGCCGAUAUCUGAUUAGCUAGUUGGUGGGGUAAAGGCCUACCAAGGCGACGAUCAGUAGCGGGUCUGAGAGGAUGAUCCGCCACACUGGGACUGAGACACGGCCCAGACUCCUACGGGAGGCAGCAGUGGGGAAUUUUGGACAAUGGGCGCAAGCCUGAUCCAGCCAUGCCGCGUGUCUGAAGAAGGCCUUCGGGUUGUAAAGGACUUUUGUCAGGGAAGAAAAGGACAGGGUUAAUACCCCUGUCUGAUGACGUACCUGAAGAUAG
rnacentral:rRNA from 1 species